GGUUUCUUGACAUUAUUCAGUUCACUGGAAGACAUUCGUGGUCCUGUUUAUGGAUACAUAUGAAGUUAGGAAAGAUGUGGGGCAUGAGGGCUGAUGCCUGCCUGAUUAUGUAUUAAUGUUGGAAUCUGAUAUUCAAGAAAAAUUUGGUUAUUUUGAUUGGCUACCAUCACCUCCAAGAUUCUACAAGUCAAUAGCUGUUUCACUGAGGUGGCCUUAAUUCAAUAUGACUAGUAUUCUUAUAAGAAGAGAUGUAAAGACGGAUACAAAGGGAGAACACCAUGUGACGAUGGAGGCAGAGACUGGAGUGGUGUGUCUUCGUGCCAGAGAUUGUUGGUAACAUCAGAAGCUAAGAACGUGGAACAGACUUUCCCUCAGAGCUCUGUAGAAAAAGCCAACUUUGCCAACACCUUGAUUUUAGA